rnacentral:lncRNA from 1 species
AUUCAAAAUGUGCACGUCGCAUGUUAUGCCAACAAAAAGUUUUCAUCCAGAUAUUGACCACAUCAAGGAUUCUGGACUCAAGUCGUUACCUUACAGAACUAGCCUAAACUAGCAAGUAGUGGACCAAAGGAAAAGGAUUUUAUUCAUCUUAUUAACUAGACAGAAUGUGAGUAUUGGAAAUAAAAAGAACUUGACAUGACCUCCCCCUUUUCCCCCUUUUAUAGUUUUGAUUAGUUUAUGUAAUAUUUAAAUUUUCAUUAUUAUCAUUCAUCAUUGAUUAUUUGUUAAACAUUCUCAAUUACUAAGACAAUGCAAACAUGUCUUUUAAUGAAAAAA